rnacentral:lncRNA from 1 species
CUUCUGCUUCAAUCUUUUGCAUGGCAGAAGUGGUGUGCAACCUUUGCAUUUUAAUAGUCCUUCAGAACAUUCCUUCAUAGUGACUCAUCCACGCUUGGCAGCUUCAGUGUAAAGAGCCAAUAUCUGAUCAACUGUCAUGAGGUAUUUGCCGGUGGAAUUCGUGACCUUGACAGCAGUUGAGGAUGAGUACUCGAAAGCAAUGUUAAGUAAGCAACCAGGCAAAGGCUCCAGACAGUCAGUUCCAAAUUGGAGGUUUGAUUUCAGGUUCCGACUGACUGCUCUC